rnacentral:rRNA from 1 species
CUCGGCCGAUCCUCCCACCCUUUGUGUACCUACCUCUGUUGCUUUGGCGGGCCGCGGUCCUCCGCGGCCGGCCCCCCUCCCCGGGGGGUGGCCAGCGCCCGCCAGAGGACCAUCAAACUCCAGUCAGUAAACGAUGCAGUCUGAAAAACAUUUAAUAAACUAAAACUUUCAACAACGGAUCUCUUGGUUCUGGCAUCGAUGAAGAACGCAGCGAAAUGCGAUAAGUAAUGUGAAUUGCAGAAUUCAGUGAAUCAUCGAAUCUUUGAACGCACAUUGCGCCCUUUGGUAUUCCGAAGGGCAUGCCUGUUCGAGCGUCAUUACAACCCUCAAGCUCUGCUUGGUAUUGGGCACCGUCCUUUGCGGGCGCGCCUCAAAGACCUCGGCGGUGGCGUCUUGCCUCAAGCGUAGUAGAACAUACAUCUCGCUUCGGAGCGCAGGGCGUCGCCCGCCGGACGAACCUUCUGAACUUUUCUCAAGGUUGACCUCGGAUCAGGUAGGGAUACCCGCUGAACUUAAGCAUAUCAAUAAGGCGGGAGGAAA